AGAAAGACAGAGAGAGAGAGGGGUUUGAAGUGGGAUUCUCUCUCCUCUUUAAUUUCUCUGUUAACGGAGAGAGAGAGAGAGAGAGGAGUUUGAAGUGGGAUUCUCUCUCCUCAAUUAUUUUUCUGUUAACGGUGUUACUGGCUGCAUCCCACUGUAAUCUCCCAAACCUGUGCACGGAUCUCAAAGAGGAUCCAACGGUUUAAAACACUAUAGUAUAGGAGCAUCUAUACUAUUGAUAGUAUAGAAGCACAACUAUAUAUAUAUAUAUAUAUAUAUACCCAGGACAAUUUGCUAAAGACAAAUUGUUUAGUUCUUCCUAGUGAUGCGCAAUAUUUACAAUGCUUUUGUGAAAAAUAUUUGUAGUAACAACACUAGUCCUUGAACUUUUGGCCAUGUUUCAUUUUAAUCCUCAAACUUUCAAGUUUGACAUUUAAUAUCCUAUACUCUUGAAAUUGUUCUAUUUUGGUCUGCCCUCAUUUACCACCAGAGGAAAAAUUAUAGCCUACAUUGUUGUGUGUACAUUCAUGUGCCAUGCUUCUAUCAGUCCUUGAACCCAUCAUAUUUCAUCCUACCAUCCAUUAAGUUGCGGCCUUUAUCUAUUUAAAAAUUAGACUGCGGAGAUUGAAGAAAAUGAGAUGAACAGUGGGUUGUUGGAUUUGUGGACUGAGUAUGUAUAUAUACAUAUAUUAUAUAUAGAGAGAGAGAGAGAGUCUAGCUUGCGUGUGCUUUUGGAAGAACAUGGAUAGUGCAUGCUUCCAACUUUUUAGCCAUUUGAUCAAAUACUAUUCCACCUAUCCCUACUAAACCCUAAGGCUGCGUUUGGUUUGGGUAUAAGUAAGAACUGCUAGUUCUAGGAAUAGGUACAAAUUCAGGUAUAAGCAGGAACUAGACCAAUUUUGCGUUUGGAUGAAAAUUGGGUUGUUCCUAGGAAUAAAGUAAAUAGUGUUUGGAUGGUUAGAUUGGAACAAGAGGAAUAAGAGUUAUAAUAAUUUGAAAUUAAAAUUAUAUUAUAUAAUUAAUAGUAAUAAAAAUAUUACUUAAAAAUAAAUAAGAAAUUAAUUAUUAAUAAUUAAUUAUAAAUAAUAAAUUAAUAAUAUGGAUGAUCUAAUUAAUAAUAAUAAUAAUUAUUAUUAAUUAUUAAUAAAUAAUAAUAAUUAUUAAUUAUUCUUAUUAAUUAAUUAUAAAUAAUAAAUUAAUAAUAAUAUUGAUUAUCUAAUUAUUAAUAAUAAUUAAUAUUAAUAUUUAUUAAUAAAUAAUAAUAAUUAUUAUUAUUUAAUUAUAAAUAAUAAAUUAAUAAUAAUAUCCAUUAUCUAAUUAUUAAGAAUAAGAAUUAUUAAUUAAUUAUUAAUAAAUAAUAAUUAUUAUUAAUUAUUAAUUAUUAAUUAUAAAUAAUAAAUUAAUAAUAAUAUCGAUUAUCUAAUUAUUAAGAAUAAAAAUUAUUAAUAAUUAUUAAUAAAUAAUAAUAAUUAUUAAUUAUUAAUAAUUAAUUAUAAAUAAUAAAUUAAUAAUAAUAUCGAUUGUCAUUAAGAAUAAUAAUUAUUAAUAAUUAUUAAUAAAAAAAUAAUGAAUAUUAUUAAUUAUUUAUAAUUAAUUAUAAAUAAUAAAUUAAUAAUAAUAAUUAUCUAAUUAUUAAUAUUUAAUUAUAAAUAAUAAAUUAUUUCAAUUAUUAAAUUAUUAAAGUAGUAAAUAAUGAUUUAAAUAUAUUAAUUAGAUUAAUUAAUAAUUUAUUGCUAUUAAAAUUAAAUUUAGAUUUUAAUUAAUCUUGUUCUCAUCAAGGAACAAGCUUGUUUCAGAAAACGGGUGGAACAGCAGUUCCAGCCUUAUACCAGCUAGUUCCAAAUUCCCGGGAACUACUGUUCCCGGAAACCAAAUAUUGCGUUUGGGAACAAAGGGGGGAACAAGGGCUUAUUCCCCCCCUUGUUCCCGAACCAAACACUACCUAAAGCAUCCAAUGGUUAAAACUUUGUAGCACUAUUCAUGUGCUUCUAAAAGCACUCUAGUGGGUUAUAUCUAUAUAUAUAAAGGUGAGUAUUAAAUUGAAGCAAUUCUAAAAGUUUAUGGUCUUGAAUGUUGAACUUAGUCCAAGGACCAAAAUGAAACCUGACUAGAUGUUCAAGGACUCGUAGCGCAAUUUCCACAAAAAUUGUUGGUUCGUUUCAGAGCUAAUUGGUUCAUCUUAUCUGUUUAUUUGCUAAUUUUCAAUUGCUUUCUUCUAAUGCUUCACUAUUUUUCAUCUGUUUGAAAGUAAUUUUUCUAGAAAUUAAAUUUACAAACAUUUCUCAACCCUAUAAUUUAGUUCUUCUAUUAAGUAGCUGAUGUUAGUAUUGAGAGAAGCUCUUAAAAUAACUCUUACACCUCUUUUCAUUUUCCCCAUUUGUUAUUAUAACGGUUUAAUCAUUUAACCUUUCAAUCGUUAUAUUUUAUCUUCUUUGACUGUUUUCUUUCAUUGAAAUUAUUUUACUUUAUUCCAUUUUCGCUCUGUGUGUGUGUGUGUGUGUAAAUGUUGAAUCAAAGUAUCAAACCUCAAUUACUACUGACUGUACUGCUAAGUCCUCUAUCUACAAUUAGUUAGAGGUCCUAACAUCUAAUGAUUGAUUGAUUUCUAAAUU
rnacentral:lncRNA from 1 species